ensembl:lncRNA
GGGUGGAAAUCUGUCCUUCUCUCAGUCUUCAAACUCUGGAAAUGAAGCCGUUUCUUCUCUCGUCAUAUCUCCGCGACGGAGGUAGAACGAGCUAUGAAAAUCGCAGUGAAAGUACACCAAAGUCCGCUGAUUCACCCAGUACAAGAAUUAUGCUUCUAUCCCACCUAUUUUUGAGUUACACGACGUUUUGUAACUCCAAAAAACGGCGUUUUUCGCCUCUCACCGCGAUCUAUUUUCUGACUGCCCAAGUAUCUGUCUUUCAGACCGCCGCCCCCUUUCCAG